GCCGCGUCGACACUCUUCGGAAUGUCGAUAUUCGCACCGGUAUCGGGAACACAGUGAGAGCGUGAUAUGCUCAAAUCUGCGGCUGUCCCUGCAACUGUAAGCGGCGAGCGAGAGGUAAGUACGUAAUCCGAAAGGAUGCGCAGCCACUGGGCCAUUCUGUCUCAUCAGAAUGCCUGGGAAGGUUUGCUUCAAGCAUUGACCCGCAAGCCAGGAGACCGACCGAUGCGAGUCGCUCUUG
rnacentral:ncRNA from 2 species